CGAGGGGGGGCAGAUGUGGAGGCGGGUAGUGCAUCCAGAGACCCUAGCAUGGCAAGGCGAUGCGGUGCCCUGAGGUCGCGGAGUGGAGUCCCCAAGGGAAGGGGAGCGGCAGGCGGAGAUGAUCAGUCAGGGCAGAGGACAGCCCCACGGCCUGGUUCUUUCUUCCGCCGUCUUUUGAAAUAGUGGGGUCUGGCUGUCAUCACCGCAGCCUGGGAGCUGCACUAAGUGAGGGGUGUCGUCGGCUUUUUGCUGAGCCAGGGUUAACGCUCCCGGGCCGGCUGGGGCGCCUGAAGCGGGGAGAAUUGGCGGCGAGGCGCCGGCCCAGCAUGUCGCUGCCUCUGGAGAAAGCCUCCGAGCUGAAGCAGCUUAUCCACCAACCCCUGAGCAAGGUAGAGAGGCCGCGGGCGCGCUCCUGCCCGCCUUGUGGCCUGGAGCGCCCAGCCUGGCGUCCUUUGGCCCGGCCGACGACGGCACCUUUUUGCCGUGGACUCGAGCAAAGGCUGAGACGCCGAACGCGGGAUGCGCCGAGCUGCGAGUUUGAAGCCGGAGGAAAGAGCAAGUCUCUCGAUGAAAGAACAAGCCCAGAAAGUGCCAGUAGGAGUCUGAGGUGAUAGAAUGGUGUUAGUAUUGUAGGACAGUGUGAAAAUGAAGCGUUUGUCGAACGAUUUCUGGAAGUCAGAUUGAGUAUAAGUUGUGUUUAGAGCAGGUUUCUAUUCGGAGGUCAGGAAUUAGAAUUACUUUAAGGGUGAACCUUGCGGUGUCAUUGAAGUUGAACCAAAUCAGCAAUUCUUAAAGAAGGCAUGAAAGAGAAGUUACUAAAGGAUUUGUAAUGAAAGUAUUUGUGAUCCUUCGGAGCUCAAGAAGAACAUUGUGUCUUUGAGGUGCUCAACUGAAUGCAGUAAGCUGAAGUAAUACAAGCUACCGUUUAUUGUGCGCUUAUUUGCCACGCUUUGUGUUAGGGGUUUGCCAUCUUUGAUCCAAGCCUCACGAUAAUCUUGACAGGGAAAGAUUAUUGACCAGAUUGAUUAAGGGUAAAUAAGUUAAGUCAAGGUCACACCUAAUAAGUUGAAAACUGGAAUUCAUACUUUGAUCACCCCCACCAGUUCUGUGUUCUUUUGAUUGUAUUGUACUUUCUCUCAAAAGAUUUGUUUUGGUUGAGUGUAUUUGUGGGGAAAUGGUAACAAGGGUAGUAAAUAACUAGUAGAGACUAUUUCUAGAAUGUGUACUAAGAAAAUUCAUCUUUAAAAAAUUUUUUGUUUUUUCCCUUUAAAAUUCUUUGUUCUCAUUGAAUUCUGUUUAACAAUUUUACAUUUACUAUUAGCUUGAGAAGCCUUCCUGAAUUUAGUCUAUCUACUCUCCCAUUAUUUUUUUCUUUGGCUUAGUAUUUUAGAAAGAAAUUAGCUAGUUGGCAAUAUUUGACUGCUUUGUAAUAUUGUAAAUUGUGAUGUGAGUUUUCUUCGUAGAUGGAUGUCCAUGGCAGAAUAAGAGAAAUCCUUGCUGAGACAGUAUGGGAAGAUUGGCACCCGAUCAACAACAGUUAUCAACAGAAGAUUUGAUUAAAGCCCUUAGAUGUUGAGGAAUCAUUGAUGAUGUGAUGAAAGAACUUAAUUUUGUUACUGACAGUGUCGAUCAAGAACUCGCUUCCUCGCCAAAACAACCUGUUUUACUGAUAGAUAGUCAACACUAUUAAAAAAAAAAACUUUUUCGUUCUAAACCUCUUCCAUGUGCCUGUGAACCAAAUUUUCAUAAAGAGUUUUUACUUGAAGUACACAGAGAAAGCUUAGGCAUGAAAUCAAAAGUUUCUGUGUGAAUUGUAAAUAUAAAAUUUGAGAUGUACCCACCACUCAAUCAAACAUUAUCUGAAGAAGUGAAUGCAGAGGAAGAAAAUGGGAUAAAUAGACCAGUCUGUUCCUAUGUUAACCUACUUUGAGCUGGGAGUCUUCUGGAUACUCCAAGCGUGACUCUGAAGAUGGUGCCAAUCUUCUGUGCAGCCUUCUUGGAUAUGGAUUAGAAGCCUUUGUCUGUGUUGGGACUAAGGCAAAGGAAUACCUCAUGUGUGGGUUAUGACUUGUGGAACUGAUAGAACCAUCACUUUUUGGGAGAGUUUAACAGGACACAGUACAUCCACAAAUCUACAAUCCUGAUGAAUCUCCAGUUGCUGAACAGCCGAAACCAUCAUGUCCAUAUCGAACAAUUGGUUGUGUUUUAAUCAUCAAAUGUUCCUGGGCAAGUGUCAGCCCUCUGACUCAGUAGAAAUUCGUAUAUUUGAGUUGAAUGAUGAAUCCAAAUGGAAAAGCAUUGAGUGAAGAAGCAGUUAAAUCUGUGUGUGCUCCAGGAGCUGUAAUAUUCCUUCCUCCCUUUCUUCCUCUAUGUGCAUCCAUGAUUGAUGCUUCAUUAAUAAGUAAUGAAAUAGAAAUGCAACUAAGGCUACUAGUGUCAGAACACAGGAAGGUAAUUAAUACUGAAAUUUGUAGUUUCAUGCAUUUUUUUAUUUGCUUAUGUGUUUAACAGUUUUUUUUGGUGUGUAUGAUAGUGCCAGUCACUCUUCUAGCCCUGAACAAAGCAAGUACUGUCCCUGCCUUAUGAAGCUUGUAGUUUUGAAAGUUGAGAGUUAAGUUCUGAGACUCCAAAAUUUCCAAAUUCACUAAUACUUCCAGAAUUUAUUACUUCUUUCUAGAUAUGAAGAAUGGUGGACUUGUUCAGACUUUUUCUGAAUACGACUAUUUGGAUUUCCUCUGUGAAGUACUUAUUCAAAUCAUUCCUCACUAAAAAUAACUGGGUUAUAUAUUUUUCGUAUUCAUUUUGUUUUUAUUUUCCACGUUGGUUUUGUUUGUUUUGUUUUCCUAUUACACUAAAUUAGGUAGAUGAAAAAUGAUAUCCUCAUUUUGGCUUUAAUUUGCAUUUCCCUGAUUACUAAUGAGGUCAAGCCUCUUAUUUAUUAGCCAUUUAGAUUUCUUUUGUACAGUACCUUAAGGAAGACAUAAAAAGCAUUAAUCAUAAAGGAAAAGAUUAGUAUAUUUUCAGAACUUGUGUUCAUCAAAAGAAACCAUUAAGAGAGUGAAAAGGGCAGCCUUGGAGUGGGAAAAGUUAUUUGCAACACAUAUAACCAACAAACGACUAAAAUCCAAAAUUCCUAAAAAAGAUUUAUUUCUAAUUCACCUGUUAGGAUUCCCUGGUAGACUCCCCACCUUGGGUGAGCCCUGUUUUCCAUGUUCCUUCAAGCCAUCAAAGGCAAACUGUUUUAUCAAAUAUGUUCUCUGGGCUCCCAGUUACUUUUAGCUUUGGCCGCUAAAAUCUUCCUUACUCACUCAUCAACUUGUCAAAGCAUUUAAAAGUAUAUUUUGGAAAACAGAAGAAUAGAUGAUCAUGGACCUUUGGGAUCACUUGGAACCAGUUAAAACCUUGAAUGUGAAAUCAAGAAAUGCUAAAGACCUAUUAUGAUAAUCAAAAUAUUUAGAAUUUUGAGAAGUUUUUAAUAUUUGUAACAGGUUUUAAAAAUAUGUGUCUAGAUAACAAUAGUUCAUUUGAUGUUAUAAAUGAAAUAACUGCCUUCAACAUUCCAUAGAAACAUGUUUUAAGCUCCCGGAAGGCCUGUAGCAUGUCUUCUCUACCUUUUUAUCUCUUAUGGUAUAAAAGUCAGUGCCUUAAAUGCUCAGUAAAUGUUUGAGUUUAAUUAUAUAUGCAAUUCACUUGUUGACUUUUCUCCCCUACUACCACUGAAUUUAUGUAGGAGCAAUCAAAUUAAGCAGAUUCAAUUUUACUAAACUCUUUAAAGUUAAAUAAAAUAUGACCUCAAAAUUCAAUGAUACUGUCUUCCAUGGUAGGACUAUUCUGUAUGGUCUUUGCUAGUGGAUAGUAAGAAGUAGAAAUUUUGUAACCUUCACUAACAUCAUUGUAUUGGAUGUAUUUUGGUUAUUUCUCUAAGAAGUAAAACCUCAUACCUGGAGUUCCUUUUAUUUUUUUAUUUCAAUGUAUCCUUAUAAUAAUAGAAAGCUUCAAAAAUUAUGACAGGUUUUAAAAAUCUUUUCUUGACAUACCUUAAAAUAAUCAACCUUUUUAUUCUUUUUUUUUUUUUAAUUUUAUUUAUUUAUUUUUCCCCCAAAGCCCCAGUAGAUAGUUGUAUGUCAUAGUUGCACAUCCUUCUAGUUGCUGCAUGUGGGACGCGGCCUCAGCAUGGCCAGAGAAGCGGUGCGCCAGUGCGCACCCGGGAUCUGAACCCCGGGCCGCCAGCAGCAGAGCGCGCGCACUUAACCACUAAGCCACGGGGCUGGCCCUCAACCUUUUUAUUCUAAUUGGUUUUUUAAGUAUUGAUGUAUUUCACUUUUUCUUUUUCUCUUUUGAU